CCUACGGGUGGCAGCAGUGGGGAAUAUUGCACAAUGGGGGAAACCCUGAUGCAGCGAUGCCGCGUGUAGGAAGACGGUUUUCGGAUUGUAAACUCCUUUUAUCAGGGACGUUAAUUACGGUACCUGAACACCAAUCUCCGGCUACCUCCGUGCCAGCAGCCGCGGUAAUACGUAGGGAGCGAGCGUUGUCCGGAAUUACUGGUUGUAAAGGGAGCGUAGGCGGGACGGCAAGUCAGAUGUGAAACCUGAGGGCUCAACUUUCAGACUGCAUUUGAAACUGCUGGUCUUGAGUGAAGUAGAGGUAAGCGGAAUUCCUAGUGUAGCGGGGAAAUGCGUAGAUAUUAGGAGGAACACCGGUGGCGAAGGCGGCUUACUGGGCUGUGACUGACGCUGAGGCUCGAAAGCGUGGGGAGCAAACAGGAUUAGAUACCCUAGUAGUC
rnacentral:rRNA from 1 species